UACGUAGGGGGCAAGCGUUGUCCGGAAUCAUUGGGCGUAAAGCGCGCGUAGGCGGCCCGGUAAGUCCGCUGUGAAAGUCAAAGGCUCAACCUUUGAAUGCCGGUGGAUACUGUCGGGCUAGAGUCCGGAAGAGGCGAGUGGAAUUCCUGGUGUAGCGGUGGAAUGCGCAGAUAUCGGGAGGAACACCUGUGGCGAAGGCGGCCACCUGGUUGGAUACUGACGCUGAGACGCGAAAGCGUGGGGAGCAAACAGG
rnacentral:rRNA from 1 species